rnacentral:hammerhead_ribozyme from 1 species
AUCCGGCUGACCAGUCCCAAAUAGGACGAAAUGCGCAUCCUGGAU